rnacentral:rRNA from 1 species
GAUGAACGCUGGCGGCGUGCCUAAUACAUGCAAGUCGAGCGAACAGACGAGGAGCUUGCUCCUCUGACGUUAGCGGCGGACGGGUGAGUAACACGUGGAUAACCUACCUAUAAGACUGGGAUAACUUCGGGAAACCGGAGCUAAUACCGGAUAAUAUAUUGAACCGCAUGGUUCAUUAGUGAAAGACGGUUUUGCUGUCACUUAUAGAUGGAUCCGCGCCGCAUUAGCUAGUUGGUAAGGUAACGGCUUACCAAGGCAACGAUGCGUAGCCGACCUGAGAGGGUGAUCGCCCACACUGGAACUGAGACACGGUCCAGACGCCUACGGGAGGCAGCAGUAGGGAAUCUUCCGCAAUGGGCGAAAGCCUGACGGAGCAACGCCGCGUGAGUGAUGAAGGUCUUCGGAGCGUAAAACUCUGUUAUGAGGGAAGAACAAAUGUGUAAGUAACUAUGCACGUCUUGACGGUACCUAAUCAGAAAGCCACGGCUAACUACGUG